CUAAGCGUACACGGUGGAUGCCUUGGCAGUCAGAGGCGAUGAAGGGCGUGCUAAUCUGCGAUAAGCGCCGGUAAGGUGAUAUGAACCGUUAUAACCGGCGAUACCCGAAUGGGGAAACCCAGUGUGACUCGUCACACUAUCAUUAACUGAAUCCAUAGGUUAAUGAGGCGAACCGGGGGAACUGAAACAUCUAAGUACCCCGAGGAAAAGAAAUCAACCGAGAUUCCCCCAGUAGCGGCGAGCGAACGGGGAGGAGCCCAGAGCCUGAAUCAGCAUGUGUGUUAGUGGAAGCGUCUGGAAAGGCGCGCGAUACAGGGUGACAGCCCCGUACACAAAAGCGCAUGUGCUGUGAGCUCGAUGAGUAGGGCGGGACACGUGGUAUCCUGUCUGAAUAUGGGGGGACCAUCCUCCAAGGCUAAAUACUCCUGACUGACCGAUAGUGAACCAGUACCGUGAGGGAAAGGCGAAAAGAACCCCGGCGAGGGGAGUGAAAAAGAACCUGAAACCGUGUACGUACAAGCAGUGGGAGCCCCACCACUAAGCCAGUGGUGAACUCCACAUCCGCAUCCUUUGCUGAGGAUACGGUUAACGGAGCGAAAGCGACGUUCAACCGCAAAACAAGCAGAGGGGGCUUAGUGGUGGGGUGACUGCGUACCUUUUGUAUAAUGGGUCAGCGACUUAUAUUCUGUAGCAAGGUUAACCGAAUAGGGGAGCCGGAGGGAAACCGAGUCUUAAUUGGGCGUUAAGUUGCAGGGUAUAGACCCGAAACCCGGUGAUCUAGCCAUGGGCAGGUUGAAGGUUGGGUAACACUAACUGGAGGACCGAACCGACUAAUGUUGAAAAAUUAGCGGAUGACCUGUGGCUGGGGGUGAAAGGCCAAUCAAACCGGGAGAUAGCUGGUUCUCCCCGAAAGCUAUUUAGGUAGCGCCUCGUGAAUUCAUCUCCGGGGGUAGAGCACUGUUUCGGCUAGGGGGCCAUCCCGGCUUACCAACCCGAUGCAAACUGCGAAUACCGGAGAAUGUUAUCACGGGAGACACACGGCGGGUGCUAACGUCCGUCGUGAAGAGGGAAACAACCCAGACCGCCAGCUAAGGUCCCAAAGUCAUGGUUAAGUGGGAAACGAUGUGGGAAGGCCCAGACAGCCAGGAUGUUGGCUUAGAAGCAGCCAUCAUUUAAAGAAAGCGUAAUAGCUCACUGGUCGAGUCGGCCUGCGCGGAAGAUGUAACGGGGCUAAACCAUGCACCGAAGCUGCGGCAGCGA
rnacentral:rRNA from 1 species